CGGUUUAAGGAUGUGAGAGCUCAAUAAACAAACCGUUGAGAGUCUCCUGUGUCCCUUUUGUAGUCAGAGGUUUUGGCCAAAGGUGAAGACUUUAUCGUCGUAGAUUAAAUUAAACCCUCGCUUUUGUGUUUCAAGUGGCUUCGGGUUCGUUUUCACUUUCUUGUUUCGAUUGCUGCAGCGAAACCAUCGGAGAAAUCUUUGAAGAUCAUGAGGAAUUUCUCCGAGCAAUAUGGUCGUCGCUCGGCUCAGGGACCUACUUCUGUGUUGAUAAAGGUAUGAAAUUAACUAUAAAGUUUUGAAAUUUAUUGUGUAAUUGUGAUGAAUAAUGAAUAUAUGGUGGUUUUGUUUAAUGAUUCUAUAAUUCUGGGCAAGUUAUGAAUUAUUUGGAGUCUUUUACUUGGAAAUAAUGAGUUUGCAGAAGAAAUUGAAUUAAUGCAAGUGAACAUCUUGAGAUAUUCUAUUGUUUAGCUAAUCUAGUGGCUGAGUUUUCUUCUAUUUAGAGAAGGAAUUGAGUUAAUACUGCAAGUGAAGAUCUAGUGUUUAAGUGUGUUACUCUUUUUGACUGAAGCAUAAACAAUCAUAUGGACGGUGCACCAUUUUUCCGUUUGCUUCCGGGCUCUCAUUACUUCUAAGAGCAUUUGAAAGUGUAUGAACACAAAGUCUAAUCCUUGUUUUUGGUGUACACAUUACGAUGAUAAAGCUGCUGAGUUUGGACUAGGCUUUUGGAAUUGUCCAUGUGUUGCAAUGAGAGAGAGGUAGCAAGUAGCUCUAUGUGGCUGCAUAAGCAUAUUGUGUGUGUUAGUUAUAUAAGUAGAACUAAGCAUAUGGGAAACACCAGUUAUAUGUUAUAUUAAGCUGAAUUGUCUCCAGCUUGUUUAUGGUUAUUAGUUGGAUAGAAUUUAGCAGCACAUGCACUUUCACUUUCCAUACCGAUGUCACCAUUGUAUCAUGAUUGAUGCUGAGGAUGUAUACACCAGAUUGCUUCAAUUCUAUAGUAGCUCUUUCGUAGACUGUUGGCAUAUUUGGCCCGUUUUUUGUGGUUCAGAACGUAGCUUAUUAGGGUCUUUUAACAAGUACAUAUAUAAAUGUGAAAAUGUUGGCACCCUGACUUGAUUUUCUUUUGACAGAUAAGGACAUCGUUGAAGAAGUCAGGAACACUGCAACGGUAACUAGUCUUGGUCAUGCGGUUUAGCGUGGCUAAGCUCUGAUUCCUCCACAGUGGCUCUGUCUUGUCUUUUCUCAUCACAGGUAUGUAACAUUCUCUUUUUUUCAACCCUGUUUCAGUGAUUCUCUGUGCUGGAAAAUAAUAAUCAUCGCAACUUUUAAACGGAACAACAUAAGCAUUACAGUUUCAGUAAACAUGAGAACAAGUGGGUGGUUUUUGGACACUAAUAUUUGCAAGCUUCACACUGCUAUUAUUGUUUUUCUUGUGAUGAUUCCUUUCCUACCAUAAUGUCUACCAUAAUAUUUCCAUUAUGUCUGCUGCAGCUUCCCACUUCUCUUGACCUUUAUCUCCUGAUGGUUCCAAAAUUUUUCACACUUCCAUUAUAUUUCCACCUUGCUUUGCUUUGAGUUUGAGCAGUGUAGCUACCCACUCGUCUCGACCUCUACCAUAUAAAAACGAUCCUAACAGUCUGAAAGAUGUGACUUCAUACACAUGCUUCACUCCGGC
rnacentral:lncRNA from 1 species